rnacentral:pre_miRNA from 1 species
CUAAUACUCCCUCCGUCCAGAAAUAUUUGUCGUGGAAAUGGAUGUAUCUAGAUGUAUUUUAGUUCUAUAUACAUUCAUUUGUAGUCAUUUUUGUAACAAGUAAUUUCGAACGAAGGAAGUAUAAA